AUUGACCGCUAGCGGGAUGCCUUACACAUGCAAGUCGAACGAGUGGGAACGGGUGAGUAACACGUGGGUAACCUCCCAUCAGAGGGGAUAACACUUGGAAACAGGUGCUAAACCGAUCCUGACGGAUGGCCCCGCGGUGCAUUAGCUUGUUGGGGAGGUAACGGCUAACCAAGGCGGCGAUGCUUAGCCGACCUGAGAGGGUGGUCGUCCACACAGCGACGGAGACACGGCCCAGACUCCUACGGGAGGCAGCGGUAGGGAAUCUUCGGCAAUGGACGAAAGGCUGACCGAGGAACGCCGAGUGAGUGGAGGAGGUUUUCGGGUCGGAAAACUAUGAUGUUAGAGAAGCGGUAUCUAACCAGAAAGCGACGGGUAACUACGUGCCAGCAGCCGCGGUAAUAC
rnacentral:rRNA from 1 species